AGAUGCCGCUGCAUUGCCCACCGCAUGGAGGCGGACCGCCGGGGACACCUUGCGGGAGCGGGGCCGCCGUGGUUGUCAGUGGGUUGGGGGAACCGCGGGAGGGCGCCCCUGGCACAGAGCCCCAAGGGCCUCCGCC
rnacentral:SRP_RNA from 14 species